rnacentral:rRNA from 1 species
GGUUCAUUCAAAUUUCUGCCCUAUCAACUUUCGACGGCUGGGUCUUGGCCAGCCGUGGUGACAACGGGUAACGGAGGGUUAGGGCUCGACCCCGGAGAAGGAGCCUGAGAAACGGCUACUACAUCCAAGGAAGGCAGCAGGCGCGCAAAUUACCCAAUCCCGACCGGGGAGGUAGUGACAAUAAAUACUGAUACAGGGCUCUUUCGGGUCUUGUAAUUGGAAUGAGUACAAUUUAAAUCCCUUAACGAGGAACAAUUGGAGGGCAAGUCUGGUGCCAGCAGCCGCGGUAAUUCCAGCUCCAAUAGCGUAUAUUAAAGUUGUUGAGGUUAAAAAGCUCGUAGUUG